rnacentral:lncRNA from 1 species
GAUGAUGGGCUGUUGUCCAAUUUGGUGUCAUUUGUACUUUGCCAAAUUAGCCGUGCAGUCCACAAGUCGUCAUUUGCACUCGUAGUGAGAGUAGAGAGAGCAGAGAGAGCAGAGAGAGCGGGUAGUUGACGCUCCUUGGAAGAAUUGCAAGCCUCCUCACUGGUAGCCUCACUGGCAGCCUCAACGAUGAUUGGCUUAUCCUUUUUCUCGUCCUGAACGAAAGAGCUGGGUUCAUAGACGACGAUAUCAUCGUCUUUACAAGUUUCGUCUCUGUAUCGACAUUCCUUGAAAUGUUGAACGAUCCUUUCUACAUUAUCAAAUUGAGUUCCACAUUGACAAGUAAAGCAUCCGGCGAUAUCUCUAGCAGUUUUUGAAGCGACUUUAGCAAUUUCUGAAGCGACGACCAUGGCAGUAGAAAUGUGAAAAAAAAAAAAAAAAAAAAAAAAAAGGAUACCAAAGAUAACCAUAUUUUAUAAUUGACGAGCAGGUUGUGUAGCAUUGACAGCGCCAGCAAUAACACCACAAAUCAUAGGAGGAAAAAUGGGAAGAAUCCAAGCAGGAGAUGCGGUUUCAAUGGUAUAUACAUGAUUGUUGAAAAUUGUGAAAAAAGCACUUACACAGUAUAUAAAAGCUACUGCAACAAAAAUGUAAUAAAGAAUUCGAAUCACCCAUACCAUCCACUCGCCCGUAUCAGCAUAGGCGUAUAUGGCAAGCAUGUCGAUGAAAGUGGAUAACGAAAGAAGACAAGUAGCAAUGAAAAGCUUUUCCAAAUGAUGGUUCCAUGAAUCUUUAAUAGUUGAAGGAUAUUUAAUAAAACGAAAAAGCAUACACGAUCCAAAGAGAGUUAAUAAAACGAUUUGAAGAAUGUAAACAAUUUUGCCAAUUGUAUUAAGACCAUAGAAACGAAAGGGGAAAGAACCAAUGAUCAAGCCAACACCACCAGUUGCCAUAGUACACGCAAACCAAGACCAUGUAAAAUGCUUUAAUCGUUUACUAAGAGGAACAUGA